ensembl:lncRNA
AUGGCCCACUGGAUUGUGUAUGCCAUUGCCCUGGCUUAUCAGGCACAGGGUGUGCCUGCUCACUCUACUAGAAGUGUUGCAUCCUCCUGGGCGCUGGCUCGUGGCACCUCGCUGAAAGAUAUUUGUAGAGCCUUUGUGUGGAGCUGGUAUCCUCCUGUGUUCUCACCUCAAAUGCGUAGAGGCACUGAGAGGCCCCGGUUAGUGUCGGCUUGCUAUAACUGCUCUAGAGUGUCUACACUGUAUACCCUGUUGAGCUCCUACAUCCCCUCGGCAGCCAGACACACUGGAACGUCUGGUGCCAAGCAUUCAUUCGAUGAAUCCUUAACCCUCUGGAGUCGAUUAACGCGUAUACGCGUUUUGGGGUAUUUUCUCCUGAUAACCCCGAAAAGAACUUAAAUUACACUUUCAGUUUUGAUCGUACAGAUAAGUGCAAUACAUCAAUCGAAUCUGUAAAGGGUCUACUUUUUGUAUACAGACAUAAUAACAACAAAACUUUGUGCACUUAUAAAAUAAAGAUAACAAACAAGGAGUGCUGUCUGCAGCCUUUGUCUGCGCUGAUCUUCAGAUACAAAUGCGUCAUUAAAAUGAACUGUAACUCAGUGAAUACUCAACGAAGAGACAUGAGAGAGAUAUCUAUAGAAAGCCUGACAUGUCUACUUUUAAACUAAACAAGUGCUGCUGAAAACAAAUAUUCUGUGAUAAAGUAAUCCAUAUGAAAACAACGCGAUGUCCGUUUUUCACGUCUCCCUUCAUUAUCUUAUAAUGCGACCACGCCCCCGCGCCGAGCGCUUUUUGAGAUUCAAAUGUUUCACUGAAGCGCGCGGCUUUUUGAAUACGCCCACACAACAGAAGACAACGCAGCGAGAUUGUUCUUCAAGUUUUUUUUAUUUUACUGUUUGCUUCGCGAUGAGAGGAAUAAGACAUAAUUCACCCCAAAAAGAUGUGAUGUGGUUGAGGAUUUGAGAUUUGGAUUUCCUCAGAAAAAAGAAUGAAGCACUUUAUUCAGCAGAGUUCAUAAACAUGAGUAAGUCUCUUUUUAUUUAUUUAUAUACUUGUACUAGUUUUUCACAUAACGUGUAAACAUUUUACUAGUUAGACUUUUUUUCCAAAGACUUUUUUUCCAAACUAUAAUUCCUGACUAAAUGUAUAAUCAAGUGAAAUAUUAUGAAGUUUCAAUAACAAUAUACACCACUAUACCAUUCAAAAGCUUGAUGUAAAUAAUAUAAAUGUAACAAUAAAUGUAACUGUAACAAAUGUAACAAUCAUUGCUGUUCUUUCAAUUUAUCCCCCCUAAAAAACCUAAAAAAAAUAUUCUCAGCUCUUUUCAACAUUAAUAAUAAUAAUAAUAAUAAUAAUAAUAAUAAUAAUAAUAAUGAUGAUGAUGAUAAUAAUAACAAUAAAUGUUUUUUUUGUAGAAAAUAAGAUUGUUAAAAGGAUUUCUGAAGGACUGUGUGACUGGAGUAAUUAUGCAAAAAAUUCAGUUUGAAAGUCAGCUUUGAUUUUUCCUAAUAAACUGUUUAACUGCACUCACAAGUGAAUAUUAAAUUAUGUUGUGGGAUAAUUAAAUGUAUUCUAAAUAAACUACAAACAUAAAAUUAUAUAGAUUUAUUUUGUCCUCACAUUCUUUCUUGUAACUCACCCCUCUCAGUGACACAGCUGACUGAAUGGCUCAUUAUGCAGCUCAUUAUGCAGGUCUUUUGUCUUCUCAGGUGUGAAUUCAUGAUAGUUGACGCCUACUCGCAUAUGACUUUUACCAACAAAAACUGUCUUAGAAAAUUUAAAUCAAUAUAUUGUUUUUCUGUAAGUGAGUAAACAAGAUGAUUUUCACAUCAUUUAGAAAAAAAAAAUUCUAGGCUACAAGCUCCAGUUCUCAAAAUUCCUGGGAACCAAUUUUCUGUAUGUGUUUUUAUUGCCUUUUUUUCAAGUGAUUUAACAUUUUUUUUAGUUUUUUUCACUAACCACGCAUAACAUUUUUUUUCUCAAAAACACAAUCAUGUACAUUCAUGCUGCUCACAUAUUAUUAUAGCCUAGUUUGUGCUGAUUACAGUGAGAUUAGACUUUAGCCAUUUAGAUAUUUAUAAGAAACUGAAAAAAGCACAAAUGUCAGGGCAUGACAAAACUUCUCCAGGCCCCAAAAAUACCCUUAGACUCCAGAGGGUUAAGAACCGGUAGAAGGCUGGGUUCCAUAUGUGAGAUGAAUCCCAUAUGUGUAAAGUCCACU